UUUGUUAAAAUUCUUUAUAAAAAUAUUGCAUUAAUUAAUUGAGCUCAAUGCUCUAGGGCACCCUAAUCUCAAAGUUGAGCCCCAAACUCGAGUUGGGAAACCUAUAAUGCAUGCUCUUAAUGUUCACAAUAUUGAAUGAGGAAAUGAAUUGGAUCAUUAGAUUAGCCAAUUAAGCACUUGGCUUCGACCACUUAGAGCCUCCUGAUCCAUAUGCAAACUGAGCAACUCAGUAAAAGAGAGGAGAGAUCAGAAAAAAAAAGCCACUACCUAAGUGUUCCAUGAGCUCCAAAAUGUUUGGAUGUUUGGAUUGUUGCAUAUGAUCUAAACAAACUAAUUAGUCUUCUAAGCAUAAAAAGAAGACAAUAAAAUAAAGCUCAUAGAUGGGUUGCUUGUGAUCUAAACAAACCAAUUAGUC
rnacentral:lncRNA from 1 species